rnacentral:rRNA from 1 species
CCUACGGGGGGCAGCAGUGAGGAAUAUUGGUCAAUGGACGAGAGUCUGAACCAGCCAAGUAGCGUGAAGGAUGACUGCCCUAUGGGUUGUAAACUUCUUUUAUAUGGGAAUAAAACGUUCCACGUGUGGGAUUUUGUAUGUACCAUAUGAAUAAGGAUCGGCUAACUCCGUUCCAGCAGCCGCGGUAAUACGGAGGAUCCGAGCGUUAUCCGGAUUUAUUGGGUUUAAAGGGAGCGUAGGUGGAUUGUUAAGUCAGUUGUGAAAGUUUGCGGCGCAACCGUAAAAUUGCAGUUGACACUGGCAGUCUUGAGUACAGUAGAGGUGGGCGGAUUUCGUGGUGUAGCGGUGAAAUGCUUAGAUAUCACGAAGAACUCCGAUUGCGAAGGCAGUUCACUGGACUGCAACUGACACUGAGGCUCGAAAGUGUGGGUAUCAAACAGGAUUAGAUACCCUUGUAGUC